rnacentral:rRNA from 1 species
CGAGGUGUAGCAUAAGUGGGAGUCGGGGGUCUAGGCGGGCGGUUUCGGCCGUUCGUCUCCCCGUCGACCUUGAAAUACCACUACUCGCAUCGUUUCCCCACUUACUCGGUAGAGCGGAACGCGCGG